GAAUUUAGAAUUCCAAUUUAGAAAUUUGAAUUUUGAAAAUGAAUUUCGCUAAGAUUUUGUUUUUCGUUUUCGCUUGCGUUUUGGCUCUGACAACGGUGUCGGGCGCUCCCAGUCCAAAAUGGAAGUUGUUCAAAAAACUAGAAAAAGUCGGCAGAAACAUUCGGGAUGGAGUCAUCAAGGCUGGACCGGCCGUGUCUGUAGUGGGAGAAGCUGCAACCAUAUACAAGGGAGGGAAAUGAAAAUACAUGAAUCUAGAUCCAAAUUUUUAUACUAACCUCGUACCUUAAGUUAUUUAUUACCUCAUUUAAUUUUAGAUCUUUAAAACCUACUCAUUAUUUGUUGUAAAUAUUCUAUGCCAUAAUAAAGUAAUAUAAAAAAAUAAUUUAA